rnacentral:sRNA from 1 species
UAAUUACUUCAUUAUUUAUAUGACUUGCUUGUAGGAUUUUAAAACUAACGUCAGUCAUAAAGACCAAAAACGAAAACGAAUUGCUCAACACAAUUGUCAAGUGGCGGCAAAACACAUUGCAAUUAAUCAUAUCGAACCCCUGGCAUACAGAAAAAAGUCGCAACAAGUGGGCGAGUGCAAAGUCCAAGAAAUUCCACUUGAGGGUGGUCUCCGAUUCCCAGUUAAUUAAAGUGUUCACUACGUCCUCCGUUCAUUGAUUGGAAACAAAUGACAGAGUGAAAGGGGGAAGACGGAAACUUAGAAAGUUUGUCAUUCUUAUCAACCGAUAGAGACAAACUUGUCUAUCGUCUAUCUCUUAGUUUAACUAACUCGCCGUUGAAAGAAAUUUUAUGGUUUGGACGUUAUUACUUCUACUGUAACCAUAAGCUUCUCGACUCAUUGGAUUGUAAAUUAAUAAAUCUGUUUCUAAAAUUUA